AGAGGAAGUAAAAGUCGUAACAAGGUUUCCGUAGGUGAACCUGCGGAAGGAUCAUUAUUGAUAUUAAUUGUUCUACCUUCAGUGCUGGCUCUUGCAUGUGCACGUUGGGGACAUAUAUCCAAUACCCUCUUGUGAACCAUUGGCCUUUGCUAGCUUCGGCUGGUAAAGGAUUUUACACACAUGAAUGUAAUGAAAUAAUCUUGUGCUGAGCACUAAAUAUACAACUUUCAACAACGGAUCUCUUGGCUCUCGCAUCGAUGAAGAACGCAGCGAAAUGCGAUAAGUAAUGUGAAUUGCAGAAUUCAGUGAAUCAUCGAAUCUUUGAACGCACCUUGCACCCUUUGGUAUUCCAAAGGGUAUGCCCGUUUGAGUGUCAUUAUACUCUCACACUCUCUAAUUAGUUAGAGAGCGGUGGAUUUGGAUGCUGCCUGGUACUUACUGUCAGGCUCAUCUUAAAUAAAUUAGUGCGACUCUUAGUUGAACAUAGUACGGCGUGAUAAGUAACCCUCGCUGUUUUCUGUCUGAUUAAGAGCUCUGUGCUUCAAACCGUCUCAGGACAAUAUUUGAUAACUUGACCUCAACUCGAGUAGGAUUACCCGCUGAACUUAAGCAUAUCAAUAAGCGGAGGAAAAGAAACUAACAAGGAUUCCCCUAGUAACGGCGAGUGAAGAGGGAAAAGCUCAAAUUUUGAAUCUGGCGUCUUUGGCGUCCGAGUUGUAAUCUAGAGAAGUGUUUUCCGUGGCGGACCGUGCAUAAGUCUCCUGGAAUGGAGCGUCAUAGAGGGUAAGAAUCCCGUGUAUGGCAUGGACUACCGUUACUCUGUGAUACACUCUCAACGAGUCGAGUUGUUUGGGAAUGCAGCUCUAAAUGGGUGGUAAAUGCCAUCUAAAGCUAAAUAUUGGCGAGAGACCGAUAGCGAACAAGUACCGUGAGGGAAAGAUGAAAAGCACUUUGGAAAGAGAGUGAAACAGUACGUGAAAUUGUUGAAAGGGAAACGCUUGAAGUCAGGCGCACUCUCGGGGAUUCAGCCUUGCUUCUGCUUGGUUUACUUCGCCUUGGGUGGGUCAACGUCAGUGUUGGUCAGAGGAAAAAGACUUGGGGAAGGUAGCAGUAUUUAUGCUGUGUUAUAGCCUCUUGUUGUAUACUUUGACUAGAACUGAGGACCGCAGCGCGCCUUUACGGCCGGGGCUUGCCCACGUACGCGCUUAGGAUGUUGACAAAAUGGCUUUAAGUGACCCGUCUUG
rnacentral:rRNA from 1 species